rnacentral:rRNA from 1 species
GAUGAACGCUGGCGGCGUGCCUAAUACAUGCAAGUCGAGCGAACAGAUGAGGAGCUUGCUCCUCUGACGUUAGCGGCGGACGGGUGAGUAACACGUGGAUAACCUACCUAUAAGACUGGGAUAACUUCGGGAAACCGGAGCUAAUACCGGAUAAUAUAUUGAACCGCAUGGUUCAAUAGUGAAAGACGGCUUUGCUGUCACUUAUAGAUGGAUCCGCGCCGCAUUAGCUAGUUGGUAAGGUAACGGCUUACCAAGGCAACGAUGCGUAGCCGACCUGAGAGGGUGAUCGGCCACACUGGAACUGAGACACGGUCCAGACUCCUACGGGAGGCAGCAGUAGGAAUCUUCCGCAAUGGGCGAAAGCCUGACGGAGCAACGCCGCGUGAGUGAUGAAGGUCUUCGGAUCGUAAAACUCUGUUAUUAGGGAAGAACAAAUGUGUAAGUAACUAUGCACGUCUUGACGGUACCUAAUCAGAAAGCCACGGCUAACUACGUG